GACGAACGCUGGCGGCGUGCUUAACACAUGCAAGUCGAACGGGGAUAUACUGGAGGAGAGCUUCGGCAGGAAUCGGGUAUAUUCCAGUGGCGGACGGGUGAGUAACGCGUGAACAAUCUGUCCCAGACAGGGGGAUAACACAUGGAAACGUGUGCUAAUACCGCAUAUGGAGCAUUUAUCGCAUGGUAGAAGCUUAAAAGAUUUAUCGCUUAUGGAUGGACUCGCGUAAGAUUAGCUAGUUGGUGAGGUAACGGCUCACCAAGGCGACGAUCUUUAGCCGAACUGAGAGGUUGAUCGGCCACAUUGGGACUGAGACACGGCCCAG
rnacentral:rRNA from 1 species